rnacentral:rRNA from 1 species
GAUGAACGCUGGCGGUGUGCCUAAUACAUGCAAGUCGAGCGAACGGACGAGAAGCUUGCUUUUCUGAUGUUAGCGGCGGACGGGUGAGUAACACGUGGAUAACCUACCUAUAAGACUGGGAUAACUUCGGGAAACCGGAGCUAAUACCGGAUAAUAUUUUGAACCGCAUGGUUCAAAAGUGAAAGACGGUCUUGCUGUCACUUAUAGAUGGAUCCGCGCUGCAUUAGCUAGUUGGUAAGGUAACGGCUUACCAAGGCAACGAUGCAUAGCCGACCUGAGAGGGUGAUCGGCCACACUGGAACUGAGACACGGUCCAGACUCCUACGGGAGGCAGCAGUAGGGAAUCUUCCGCAAUGGGCGAAAGCCUGACGGAGCAACGCCGCGUGAGUGAUGAAGGUCUUCGGAUCGUAAAACUCUGUUAUUAGGGAAGAACAUAUGUGUAAGUAACUGUGCACAUCUUGACGGUACCUAAUCAGAAAGCCACGGCUAACUACGUGCCAGCAGCCGCGGUAAUACGUAGGUGGCAAGCGUUAUCCGGAAUUAUUGGGCGUAAAGCGCGCGUAGGCGGUUUUUUAAGUCUGAUGUGAAAGCCCACGGCUCAACCGUGGAGGGUCAUUGGAAACUGGAAAACUUGAGUGCAGAAGAGGAAAGUGGAAUUCCAUGUGUAGCGGUGAAAUGCGCAGAGAUAUGGAGGAACACCAGUGGCGAAGGCGACUUUCUGGUCUGUAACUGACGCUGAUGUGCGAAAGCGUGGGGAUCAAACAGGAUUAGAUACCCUGGUAGUCCACGCCGUAAACGAUGAGUGCUAAGUGUUAGGGGGUUUCCGCCCCUUAGUGCUGCAGCUAACGCAUUAAGCACUCCGCCUGGGGAGUACGACCGUAAGGUUGAAACUCAAAGGAAUUGACGGGGACCCGCACAAGCGGUGGAGCAUGUGGUUUAAUUCGAAGCAACGCGAAGAACCUUACCAAAUCUUGACAUCCUUUGACAACUCUAGAGAUAGAGCCUUCCCCUUCGGGGGACAAAGUGACAGGUGGUGCAUGGUUGUCGUCAGCUCGUGUCGUGAGAUGUUGGGUUAAGUCCCGCAACGAGCGCAACCCUUAAGCUUAGUUGCCAUCAUUAAGUUGGGCACUCUAAGUUGACUGCCGGUGACAAACCGGAGGAAGGUGGGGAUGACGUCAAAUCAUCAUGCCCCUUAUGAUUUGGGCUACACACGUGCUACAAUGGACAAUACAAAGGGCAGCGAAACCGCGAGGUCAAGCAAAUCCCAUAAAGUUGUUCUCAGUUCGGAUUGUAGUCUGCAACUCGACUACAUGAAGCUGGAAUCGCUAGUAAUCGUAGAUCAGCAUGCUACGGUGAAUACGUUCCCGGGUCU